UCCUAGUGACGACCAGUAUCACGCCUGC
rnacentral:sRNA from 1 species